rnacentral:lncRNA from 1 species
AAGAGGGCCAUUUGUAUCACUGUGUGACUCCAUUCCUCAACUCCUUUCUCCAAGCCAAUAACUUUUGGCAGCUGGAUGACUCCUGACCUGAAAGCUUGUGACUUUUUCCUUGAGGCUGAGACAGAGCUGUGACUGUUGUAAAACUCCUGCCACCCACAGCUCAGCAAAAUCUCAGGCGCCAUUGUAGAGCAGCCAUUGAAUCAACACAGAGAGGCGGCAGCGUGCCUCUGACUCACCAGGAACCCAGCUCCUCACUGUUCCGCCUGCAAACAGACCUCAAAGCUCCUUGUUCCUUGCUUUGUGCUGCUGAACGCAAGUGGGACCCAGGGAAGGCCACAGAUGCUCUCUGGAAGUACAAUAGCUAUUUUCCUGGUCUGCAUCUGAGGUAGACACGGAAGGAUCAGAGGGACUCAGGGCAUUGCCCUCAGGGGAGUUCUUGGUGCUCAAUGCCUGCAUACCUCACUUAUGCCAUGAAGGUAUUCCUUAAAGGAAAUGAUAAAAAUAUCACUUUGAUGAGGAAUCGAAAAUUAACCAACUCGAUAAGUGGAAUACCCAGGAUUCCCCAAACGGACUGGCUUCAAGAAGGAAAAGAUGGGUGUUGGAAAAUUUAAUGGACUGAAGAAAUGGCAGCAUUUGUUUUUGAAUGAGAAUAAAAUAAGUACAGUCACAAGUAUUGCACAAAUGUUUCAUUUGUGAGCUUCUCUCCGUCCAGAUAAAGGUAACUUUUUGGGAAAUUCAUUUGUAAAGGAAUAAUUUCAUCUACUUUCCUACAUUGAGAUCAGUUUCCAGAAAUGAAGAUACCAUAAAAUUUAUUCUCUAAAACUAUGCCAUUGAAAACCAAAUUCUAAAAAUGUUCUCAGACUUCAAACUUUAUGAAAAUGAAAUAACAUUAUUUAGCUUACCUUUCUUAUUUUUUGAUAGCACCUAUGUUGGGCUAUGAUUAGACAUUAUCAAACUGUAAUGCAAAAACGGUACUGAAGUCUAUUUGAAGUCUAAGUAGAGCAAUGCUGAAAGCCAGGAUUGUACACACAUUUUGGAAGAGGUGAUUCUAGAUAUAAGAACCAUUUACAGUAGUAAUUCCAUCCAUGUUAGGAAGAGCCUAUGUUUAGGCUCGACUCCAAAAUUAAUCUGAAAAAAACCAACCACCCUCCUGGCAUAAGUGUUUAAGGCUGCAUUCUGUACAUCACAGUGAAAAAUACAGGGCCUGAAACAUGUUUUGGUACAGAAAAAAAGAUGUGAGGUUUCUGAUUCCAAGUCAAAGCAGUAAUGAAUUAUGAAAUAAAAAUAUAGCAAUAAUUGUUUUCCUUUUUCAAUGUUUUUAAAAUUUAAUAUAAAAUAGCAUAUGAAUAUUAUAUAUAUUUACAUUAUUACAUACCUAUUCCAUAAUUUAAUAAGAAUAAAGUGUUUGCUUCCAU